CUGGUGGGUAGUUUGACUGGGGCGGUCUCCUCCUAAAGAGUAACGGAGGAGCACGAAGGUUGGCUAAUCCUGGUCGGACAUCAGGAGGUUAGUGCAAUGGCAUAAGCCAGCUUGACUGCGAGCGUGACGGCGCGAGCAGGUGCGAAAGCAGGUCAUAGUGAUCCGGUGGUUCUGAAUGGAAGGGCCAUCGCUCAACGGAUAAAAGGUACUCCGGGGAUAACAGGCUGAUACCGCCCAAGAGUUCAUAUCGACGGCGGUGUUUGGCACCUCGAUGUCGGCUCAUCACAUCCUGGGGCUGAAGUAGGUCCCAAGGGUAUGGCUGUUCGCCAUUUAAAGUGGUACGCGAGCUGGGUUUAGAACGUCGUGAGACAGUUCGGUCCCUAUCUGCCGUGGGCGCUGGAGAACUGAGGGGGGCUGCUCCUAGUACGAGAGGACCGGAGUGGACGCAUCACUGGUGUUCGGGUUGUCAUGCCAAUGGCACUGCCCGGUAGCUAAAUGCGGAAGAGAUAAGUGCUGAAAGCAUCUAAGCACGAAACUUGCCCCGAGAUGAGUUCUCCCUGACUCCCUGAGAGUCCUGAAGGAACGUUGAAGACGACGACGUUGAUAGGCCGGGUGUGUAAGCGCAGCGAUGCGUUGAGCUAACCGGUACUAAUGAACCGUGAGGCUUAACCUUACAACGCCGAAGCUGUU
rnacentral:rRNA from 1 species